rnacentral:rRNA from 1 species
UACGGGGGGGGCAAGCGUUGUUCGGAAUUACUGGGCGUAAAGGGCGCGUAGGCGGCCUGCUAAGUCGGACGUGAAAUCCCUCGGCUUAACCGAGGAACUGCGUCCGAUACUGGUGGGCUUGAAUCCGGGAGAGGGAUGUGGAAUUCCAGGUGUAGCGGUGAAAUGCGUAGAUAUCUGGAGGAACACCGGUGGCGAAGGCGGCAUCCUGGACCGGUAUUGACGCUGAGGCGCGAAAGCUAGGGGAGCAAACGGG